rnacentral:misc_RNA from 1 species
UCGCGGCUUAUCACCGGCAGUCCCCCUAGAGUGCCCAACUGAAUGAUGGCAACUAAGGGCGAGGGUUGCGCUCGUUGCGGGACUUAACCCAACAUCUCACGACACGAGCUGACGACAGCCAAGCAGCACCUGUGUUCCAGGCUCCGAAGAGAAGGCCACAUCUCUGCGACCGGUCCUGGACAUGUCAAGGGCUGGUAAGGUUCUGCGCGUUGCGUCGAAUUAAACCACAUGCUCCACCGCUUGUGCGGGCCCCCGUCAAUUCCUUUGAGUUUUAAUCUUGCGGCCGUACUCCCCAGGCGGUGUGCUUAAAGCGUUAGCUGCGACACCGAAGAGCUAGGCUCCCCAACGUCUAGCACACAUCGUUUACGGCGUGGACUAC